GCCCACCCCUAGUUUUAGUAUUGCGUUCCAGUAUCAACUAGGUACAAAACUCUGUGCUUUUCACUUUCCUACUCCUUCAUUGGCUAAAUAUCAUUCUACAUUCAUUCGGACUCCUCUCCCGUGACCUCAGGCCCAGCUCAAGCCCAGGGACUCCUCUGUGGAGGUGCGCAGUGACUGGGAGGUGAAGGAGGAGAUGGACUUCCCCAGGCUCAUGAAAAUGAGAUACAUGGAUGUGGCCGACCCGCUUGACAUCGAGUGCUGUGGAGCUCUUGAGCACUACGACAAGGCUUUUGAUCGCGUCACCACCCGCAAUGAAAAACAACUCAAGAGCAUCAAGAGGAUCUUCCACACCGUUACCACCACUGAUGACCCUGUGAUCCGCAAGUUGGCAAAAACCCAGGGCAAUGUGUUUGCCACUGA